rnacentral:lncRNA from 1 species
UUGCAUCAAUUUUUUUCCAAUUAUGCAGGUGUGUGCUGAAAAAAAAAAACAAUCGCUAAAUUAUAAAAAAAUCAUCUUAUAAAUACUCCUUUUUUUCACCUUUUUCUUUCUAACUUUUAAAAAAAUAUAUUUUAUACUCUCAACAUUUCAAGUUGUUGCAUUUAACCCCUCUCAAUCAGGGUUCCAUUACUAUUCUAUAUUUAUAUCAAAAUUGUCCUUCAAAAUAACAACAAUAUAUUAAUUUUUUAAUUAUAAAAAAAUAAUUUUAAAGGACAAAAUAUAGAUUUUUGAAAGUAAAAAACAAAUAAAAGAGUCUCUUUUCAAACAAAAAGAAAGAAAAAGUAAACAAGUAGAUACGUACAAAAAAAUUUUCUGUAAUUUAGCCAAAAACAAC